rnacentral:tRNA from 1 species
GCCUGGGUGGCUCAGUUGGUUAAGUGUCUGACUUUGGUUCAGGUCAUGAUCUCACGGUUUGUGAGUUCAAGCCCCACAUCGGGCU